rnacentral:rRNA from 1 species
GACGAACCACACAAACGUUAUUCGGAAUUACUGGGCGUAAAGAGCGCGCAGGCGGUCGUUCAAGUCGAGUGUGAAAGCCCCCGGCUCAACUGGGGAGGGUCAUUCGAUACUGAUCGACUUGAAGGCAGGAGAGGGAAGUGGAAUUCCCGGUGUAGUGGUGAAAUGCGUAGAUAUCGGGAGGAACACCAGUGGCGAAGGCGACUUCCUGGCCUGUUCUUGACGCUGAGGCGCGAAAGCUAGGGGAGCAAACGGG